rnacentral:rRNA from 1 species
GACGGAGGGUGCUAGCGUUGUUCGGAAUUACUGGGCGUAAAGGGCGCGUAGGCGGCCGUUUGCGUCGGAUGUGAAAGCCCGGGGCUCAACCCCGGGAGGCGGGUGGAUACUGCUCAGCUCGAGUCCGGAAGAGGAGUGUGGAAUUCCUGGUGUAGCGGUGAAAUGCGCAGAUAUCAGGAGGAACACCAAUGGCGAAGGCAGCACUCUGGGACGGUACUGACGCUGAGACGCGAAAGCGUGGGGAGCAAACAGG